GUAAUAAUAGCUUAAAAUAAAGCAUUGGUCUUGUAAAUCAAAGAUGAAAUUAGAUUUCUUAUUACU
rnacentral:tRNA from 1 species